CAAUGAGGCGAGUGUUCUCCCAAAAGCAGCCUUAUGUCGUCGGUCCCCAAUGCCUGCAGCAUGGCGGCUCACAUGCUCUUUUCCAACCAAAAAGCCCGUCUCUGAGAGUUCGUUCCUUUGCCAGACUGCAUCUCCUCCAAGGCAAAAACUCAGUUUUCUUUUCCUCUUGGGCUUCUUACCCACAAAGCAGAGAGGACAGAAUCGACCUACGGUGCCAGUUCCGGUGUGAAGCCUGGGUUCCUGAGAUGAGAGUCACUUGACCUGAAAGUCCCCUGAGCGGUAAACGCCUCUGAGAGAAGAAAUGUGACCUGCUUGUUGCUAGCUGCAUAGUCAUGUGCUUUCAGGGAAAAGAGCUUUGCGCCACCACAUACCAGAUACACGAAUCUAGACCUGUCAUGUCAUGUCUCUGCAUCUCAGUUUCCACAUUUGUAAAAGAAGACAAAUGCUUUGUUCUCAAGCCUAUUGCGAGAGUCACAUGAAGUGAUGUGUGUCCAGGGUCUAGCAUGACAACUGACCCCUGGGAGAUGCUUGACAAAUGUCAGCUUUCUUCCCAGUUUGCCUCUAUGUUCCUGAUAGUGAAGCCAACUUAAUAAAAGAAGAGACAAAAUGAGGAAGUUUGACCUUCGGAAAUAAGCCAGGAGAGCUCAAGCUCGGGGCUCGGACUUCGUGGCACAGGAGUCGUGGACUGCAGACUGGGAAGAACUAGGAAACUUGAUGCGAUUCCUUAGGCACUGGGGCUACAGAUGUGAGACACACGUGCUGCUCUUCAUGAACUCACAACCCAGGAAGGAGACAGCCACACACUCACAUCUUUGCAAUAUGGUGUGGUGCACGCAGUGAUGGUGGACAUAUGGACAAGGUGCCUGCUGGCUCAGAGGCGGAGUUAGCAACGCUGCUCCGUCUGUCUUGCAGGUUUAGAUGUUUUUGUAUCACCAGUUCUGAAAGAAGAAUGGAAGCAUAUGUUGACUUUACUGUCUGGCUGCGGUAGCUUCCUACCUUCUUGGAUUCAUCUUGUCUGGGCUGACUUUCUCAUCUGCAGAGGGGAACAUCUGCAGUGCUGGUGGCCGUCUUGCCGUGUCUCUGCUUUUACCACCAUGCUUGAGGAAUCACCCAUGUCUCCUACCUGACUUUGAGUUCCUUGAGAGAUCAUGUCCACAGGCCAAGGAUAGUGAAUGAAUGAAUGGCUAACGACCCUCACUGAGAAGUUCCUUCUACAGCCUGACACAUGGAGCAAUUCAGUUCAACUCUCUGAGAUUCCUUUUUUUCAUCUGUAACAUUAGGAUAUACAAUGGUAUCAAUGGUUUCCAGGAGGCCGGGGUUCCUUCUCCUUAGGAGUCUACGGUGAUAGCGCUGGAGCAAUGUUUUUAAAAACCCAAAAGAAAGUGUGUGUGUGUUACCAGUUAAGGCUAUGUUGGCUGAUGUGAACACUGCCUCUUGCUCUGAUGGAAUGAUGUCAACUCUGUGGGUAUUGUAGACUUAGCAUGUGUAUCAGUCAAGAUUCUUGCCUGCAUGCAAGAGAAACCAAGCCUAGUUGACUUAAACAGAAAAUAAUUGCUUUGGGAAAAGGCAGGAGGACCAGGCUCUGGACAUGGGCCGUAGCCAGGAAAAGCUGAGCGAUGAAGACCUCAGCCAAGGUCACGACACGGAAGUGGCGUGGUUGGGAUGCCACUGGACACCAGACACUGACCCACUGGACCCACCAGGACACGGGAUGCCACUUCCUCCCAACCAUGGUUACUGCUUUGUGCCUCUUGCAAAGUCCCAGGUAAGACCAUCCAGUUGGCAAAUCUUAAGCCUUGUGUGCCCUUGUCCAGCUGCUGAAGGACAGGGACAGCAAGUAUCAGGCCAUCAGGGUUCUAUUUUAUCAGGAAAAGUCCCCAAAUAUAAGAAGGAGAUCAGCUGCUGGACAGCCCACAAAACAAAACGAAAUCUGCUAUGGUUGCUAAAUGUUUAUUUUUUGUUUAUUUUAUUGACUCAUUUUUUUGAGUCUCACUCUAUUGCCUAGUGCAAUCAUAGCUCACUGCAGCCUCAGACUCCUGAGUUCAAGGGAUCCUCCUAGGUCUCCCAAGGGACUAGGACUAUAGGCAAGCACCACCACGCCAAGCUUGCUAAAUGUUUUUCAUGGCCAAAAAACCAAUAGAAUUAACUGAUGGUGGAAAAAUGUAUUUGGCAACAUGAGAUUAAUGGAAGGAAAAUAAACAAUGAACAUGUGUAACUAGGACUCUAGACAUGCACCACCACACCCAGCUUGUUAAAUGUUUUUCAUGACCGAAAAACCGUUAGAACUUAACUGAUGGUGGAAAAACAUAUUUUGAAACGUGAGAUCAAUGGAAGGAAAAAAUAAUGAACAGGUUUAAUGAUUUUAAAAAAAGAAAAGAUUGACUAGAACAGGUGACCUCUAAUGCUGUUCACAAACUUAGACGCCCCCUGCAGGCGGGAUGAAGGAAUAAAGACUGGACUGAUUUUCUCAAGCCCUUUCUUUCGUUGAAUAUAUGACAUAAUAAUCAUAUGAAAAAAUGCUCAUCGUCACUGGUCAUCAGAGAGAUGCAAAUCAAAACCACAUUGAGAUACCAUCUCACGCCGGUUAGAAUGGCGAUCAUUAAAAAAUCUGGAGACAACAGAUGCUGGAGAGGAUGUGGAGAAAAAGGAACACUUUUACACUGUUGGUGGGAGUGUAAAUUAGUUCAACCAUUGUGGAAGACAGUGUGGCGAUUCCUCAAGGCCUUAGAAAUAGAAAUUCCAUUUGACCCAGCAAUCCUAUUACUGGGUAUAUAUCCAAAGGACUAUAAAUCGUUCUACUAUAAGGACACAUGUACACGAAUGUUCAUUGCAGCACUGUUUACAAUUGCAAAGACCUGGAAUCAACCCAAAUGCCCAUUGAUGAUAGACUGGAUUGGAAAAAUGUGGCACAUAUACACCAUGGAAUAUUAUGCAGCAAUCAGAAAUGAUGAGUUUGUGUCGUUUGUAGGGACGUGGAUGAAUCUGGAGAACAUCAUUCUCAGCAAACUGACACAAGAACAGAAAAUGAAACACCGCAUAUUCUCACUCAUAGGUGGGUGAUGAAAAAUGAGAACACAUGGACACAGGGAGGGGAGUACUAAACACUGGGGUCUAUUGGAGGGAAAAGGGGAGGGCCAGUGGGAGGGGGAGGUGGGGAGGGAUAGCCUGGGGAGAAAUGCCAAAUGUGGGUGAAGGGGAGAAAGGAAGCAAAACACACUGCCAUGUGUGUACCUAUGCAACUGUCUUGCAUGUUCUGCUCAUAUACCCCAAAACCUAAAAUGCAAUAAAAAAUUAAAAAAAUAAUAAUAACCUGGACUUGUGGAAUUAACCACUGCUUAGAAAUAACUAGCAUAUAGCUGCUACACGUAAGAGAAAACAAAAGUAAUAAUGCCUUAAACUUGGUACGGAGGUGCUAUAGUGUGAAUGUGUCUCUCAAAGUUCAUGCGUUAGAAACUUAAUUCCCAGACCAAAUUAUUGGGAGGUGGGACCUUUACGAGCCUCUGCUCUCAUGCAUAGAUGAUUGCUUUUGUCGAAGGAGUGCGUUCCUGCAUAAAAGGAUAAGUUUGGACUGCUUGCUGGUGUCUCUUGUGUUCAUGCUCUCUUGCCCUUGUACCGUCCGCUGUGGGAUGUCACGACAAGAAGCCCCUCGCCAGGAGCAGGUCCCUGUACCUUGUACUUCCCAGGUUUCAGAGCUGUGAGAAAUAAAUCUGUUUAUACAUUA